GCGCCGGUAGCUCAGCUGGAUAGAGCACCAGGCUUCGAACCUGGGGGUCGGGGGUUCGAGUCCCUCCCGGCGUGCCA
rnacentral:tRNA from 1 species